rnacentral:rRNA from 1 species
CCUACGGGCGGCAGCAGUGAGGAAUAUUGGUCAAUGGGCGCGAGCCUGAACCAGCCAAGUAGCGUGAAGGAUGACUGCCCUACGGGUUGUAAACUUCUUUUAUAAAGGAAUAAAGUGAGGCACGUGUGCCUUUUUGUAUGUACUUUAUGAAUAAGGAUCGGCUAACUCCGUGCCAGCAGCCGCGGUAAUACGGAGGAUCCGAGCGUUAUCCGGAUUUAUUGGGUUUAAAGGGAGCGUAGAUGGGUUGUUAAGUCAGUUGUGAAAGUUUGCGGCUCAACCGUAAAAUUGCCAUUGAUACUGGCAUCCUUGAGUACAGUUGAGGUAGUCUGCUUUCGUGGUGUCGCG